rnacentral:lncRNA from 1 species
UUUAGCGUUUUUAGGCCCUUAACGUCAAAACGUAAACUUUCGGGUCAAAGCACAAAUACACAAAAGUAUCAAAACUUUAUGUAAUUGCAUAAAAGCCCCAAAAAUACCCUAUUUUAUUAGGGUGGCCGGUUUUUAGGGAUAAAAAUGAGUGAUGGGUGUUUUGAUUUAUUAGUUUUGUCAAAAACAAUCAAGUAGUGCUUUCACCUUUCAUAAAAAUAAUAUAUGU